rnacentral:snoRNA from 1 species
CCCCUCUCAGGGUCUCACCUGGAGAGUUUCCAGUACUCUACCAGUCUUGACUACCGGAGGGAGAGUUAAGCAGAGGCCUACCCAUUCUAUUCCUAGCUUGGGCAGUGGCUAGAGAGUGGAAGGCAAUAUGCUAUGAGU